CCUACGGGCGGCAGCAGUGGGGAAUAUUGGACAAUAGGCGAAAGCCUGAUCCAGCCAUGCCGCGUGUGUGAAGAAGGCCUUCGGGUUGUAAAGCACUUUCAGUGGGGAAGAAAGCCUUGGGGCUAAUACCCUCGAGGAAGGACAUCACCCACAGAAGAAGCACCGGCUAACUCCGUGCCAGCAGCCGCGGUAAUACGGAGGGUGCGAGCGUUAAUCGGAAUUACUGGGCGUAAAGCGCGCGUAGGCGGUCUGAUAAGCCGGUUGUGAAAGCCCCGGGCUCAACCUGGGAACGGCAUCCGGAACUGUCAGGCUAGAGUGCAGGAGAGGAAGGUAGAAUUCCCGGUGUAGCGGUGAAAUGCGUAGAGAUCGGGAGGAAUACCAGUGGCGAAGGCGGCCUUCUGGACUGACACUGACGCUGAGGUGCGAAAGCGUGGGUAGCAAACAGGAUUAGAUACCCUUGUAGUC
rnacentral:rRNA from 1 species